rnacentral:lncRNA from 1 species
AAAAUUUCUAUACAUUAUUGUAUCUAUUCUUCACAAUAGAUUUCAGAGUCUUUAUUAUUUAUUUCCAUUUUACCAAUGAGGAAACUCAGAUUCUGUCAUAGGCAUGGAGACAAUGGAAAGGGAGGGAGCGGCUUGCAGUCUGACUCCAGGAGGCAGUAUUCCUCUUUACUCCCAAUCUGGUAUCAGAAUGGACCUUUUUGAUGUCACUGUUAUUCCAGAAAGAAUCUCUGGCAUGCUCCCCUCCAGCUAACGUCAGAAAGAAAAGGGGGCCCUUGCAAAUCACUCCAGCAAAAAAAAGUUAGAGACCAAGACAUGACUGCAAGCACAAAGGUGGACAUAUGCCCAAGACUUGCCAAUCAUUUUAUCCCCUGAACCUAGACAUUAUGGUCAUCUGGUCAUAAAAUGUGUUCAAAGAUAAAUGCCUCCAUUGCCUUCCAAUAAAUCCCUCUUCUACCUAUUUUAUUAAUUUAUU